CCCUACGGGGGGCAGCAGUGGGGGAUAUUGCACAAUGGGGGGAACCCUGAUGCAGCGACGCCGCGUGGGUGAAGAAGCGCCUCGGCGCGUAAAGCCCUGUCAGCAGGGAAGAAAAUGACGGUACCUGAAGAAGAAGCCGCGGCUAACUACGUGCCAGCAGCCGCGGUAAUACGUAGGGGGCAAGCGUUAUCCGGAUUUACUGGGUGUAAAGGGGGCGCAGACGGCGAUGCAAGCCAGGAGUGAAAGCCCGGGGCCCAACCCCGGGACUGCUCUUGGAACUGCGUGGCUGGAGUGCAGGAGGGGCA
rnacentral:rRNA from 1 species